ensembl:lncRNA LINC00598 long intergenic non-protein coding RNA 598
GCUCUUUUUCUAAUUCCUUAUACUUGCCUUUAGGCUUGCUUGUUCCUUUAGGUCUUUACUGCAUCAUUCCAGAGAGACCUUCUGUGCCAUACGCUACAGUUCCACCCCCUCUUAUGCCGCUUAGCACUCACCAUUGCCCAACAUAGGAGCUGUUUUAUGUCUUCCUCUUGAUUCUCACUGUUUCCUGCUUUGGAGCAUAAGCUGGACAGAGAAUACCAUCGGAGCUCCUCUGGAACAUGUCCUUGUCUUCUCAGAGUGUGAAGUGUGUGUGUGACAGUGCUUUUCUGAGGACUCAGGUGACCUGGAGGCUGGAGAACAGCAUGGAGCAAGGAAAACAAAGACGAUGUGCUGGAGUGUAUGUUGCUUUCAUAAUUAUGUGAAAGAAAAUGUAGAGAAAUUUGAAAGAAUCUUGCUCUGUCACCCGGGCUGGAAUUAUGUGGCAUGAUCUCGGCUCACUGCAACCUCCACCUCCUGGGUUCAAGUGAUUCUCUUGCCUCAGCAUCCUGAGUAGCUGGGAUUACAGGCAUGCACCACAAUGAUCGGCUCCAAACAGGAGCAUCUUGGUAUGAUUUUUGUAGAAUCCCUUGCAGCUAGAGUCAUGGAAGCGAAGAAGUUUCCACAAUUAGAUGUGCCUAUGCAAGAUUUGAAAAGAGGAAAUGUGACAAAAGGGCAGAGUUCUGCAGCUUUGACUACUUUUGCUGGCAUGCAAGGUCUUGAAGAUGCUGUGCUUUCCUGCAGCCAAAUUCUACUGUAUAGCCACAAGCUUCAUUGUAUAUCCAUGCCAAAUAGACACAAAGCUGGAAGGGGCGUGAUUUGAAAUGCUCUGGGUUGGUUACAGGUUCAAGUGAUUCUCCUGCCUCAGCCUCUCGUGUAGCUGGGAUUACAGGUGCGUGCCACCACGCCCGGCUAAUGUUGUAUUUUUAGUAGAGAUGGGGUUUCACCAUGUUGGUCAGGGUGGUCUUGAGCUCCCAACCUCAGGUGAUCCGACUGCCUCAGCCUCCCAAAGUGCUGGGAUUACAGGCAUGAGCCACUAUGCCUGGCGGAAGAGGAUGACUUCUAACGAUCUGUCAUGGAAGAGUGAGGUUUGGUGUUGCCACGAUGAGGUAUAUCAUGCAGAAAAAGGAAUCAGUUAUGUGAAGAAUAGAAAGGAGCCUAUGUGUCAUGCAAGCCGAGCUCAGAAGGCAGUUAUGAUUGGGAACCAAGGUCCAGGAGAUCUGGACACAAACCUGGGAUGUACAGGUGCCACCACACUGUGCAAAGAAAGAACAAGAAAGCAGAGAAAUGAAUGCAGGAUUCAAUAAGAGGUGGUCUAGGGAGUAGGAAUAGAUCAGCAGACAGUGUUAUAGCACGUAGAAGCUAAGUGCUUCAAGAAUUAGGUAAUGUCCGUGUCAAACACUGCAGAAUGGUCACAUAUGGAUGAGGAUGGAUUUAGCAUUUAAGUGUUCAAGAUGACUUUAGUGAAAUGAGUUUCAGAAGGGGAUGAGGGCCAUGUAUUAAUGGGUUAAGGAGAGUAUGGUAGGCAUAAUACGCCCCACCCCUCAAAGAUGUGCCUGCCCUAAUCCUUGGAGCCUGUGAAUAUGUUAUCUUACAGAGCAAAAGAGGCUGCACAGUUGCGACUAAGGGCACAGAUUUUGACAUGGGGAGAUUAUCCUGGGUUAUCUGGGUGGGCCCCAGUUUAAUCACAUGAGUCUUUGUAAGUCAAAGAGCCAGCAGGAAGAGUGUCAGAGAGAUAUGAUAUUGGAGAUGGAGGAAGAGGGCCAUAGGCCAAGGAAAUGUGGUGGCCUCUAGAUGCAGAGAACAGUUCUCAGUUUAUAGGCAGGAAGAAAAUAGAGACCUCAGGCCUACCAGUGCAAGGAAUUCUGCUAACCACCUAAAUGAGUAGGAAGUGCAGUCUCUUCUGGGACCUUCAGAAUGGAGCACGGCCUGUCAACACCUAGACAUUAGUUGGCUGCAAUGCAUACCAGACUUCUGAUC